UACGUAGGGGGCAAGCAUUGUCCGGAAUUAUUGGGCGUAAAGAGCUCGUAGGCGGUUUGUCGCGUCUGCUGUGAAAUCCCGAGGCUCAACCUCGGGCCUGCAGUGGGUACGGGCAGGCUGGAGUUCGGUAGGGGAGACUGGAAUUCCUGGUGUAGCGGUGAAAUGCGCAGAUAUCAGGAGGAACACCGGUGGCGAAGGCGGGUCUCUGGGCCGAUACUGACGCUGAGGAGCGAAAGCGUGGGGAGCGAACAGG
rnacentral:rRNA from 1 species